rnacentral:rRNA from 1 species
UACGUAGGUGGCGAGCGUUGUCCGGAUUUACUGGGCGUAAAGGGAGCGUAGGCGGACUUUUAAGUGAGAUGUGAAAUACUCGGGCUCAACUUGAGUGCUGCAUUUCAAACUGGAAGUCUAGAGUGCAGGAGAGGAGAAUGGAAUUCCUAGUGUAGCGGUGAAAUGCGUAGAGAUUAGGAAGAACACCAGUGGCGAAGGCGGCCUGCUGGACGAUGACUGACGUUGAGGCUCGAAAGCGUGGGGAGCAAACAGG